GGUGCCGUAGUGUAGUGGUUAUCAUGCGACGUUGUGGUUUCAUCCCCACAGUCCCGUCUCGACCUGGGUUCGAUUCCCAGCGGCGCCA